CUUUACUGUAGCCUGGUAUUGGGUUCGGGCUUUGACUGCGCAGGAUAGGUGGGAGACUGAGAAGUGUGCCUUGUGGGCACAUGGAGUCAACGGUGAGAUACCACUCUGUCAGAGCUAGAAUUCUAACCUUCACCCGUGAUCCGGGGAAGGAACCGUAUCAGGUGGGCAGUUUGACUGGGGCGGUCGCCUCCUAAAAGGUAACGGAGGCGCGCAAAGGUGUUCUCAGGCUGGUUGGAAAUCAGCCGUAGAGUGUAAAGGCAGAAGAACGCUUGACUGUGAGAGUGACAACUCAAGCAGGGUGGAAACACGGCCUUAGUGAUCCGACGGUAUGCGCGUGGAAGUGCCGUCGCUCAACGGAUAAAAGUUA
rnacentral:rRNA from 1 species